AGCCCAGCUUGCUGGGUGGAUUAGUGGCGAACGGGUGAGUAACACGUGGGUGAUCUGCCCUGCACUUCGGGAUAAGCCUGGGAAACUGGGUCUAAUACCGGAUAGGACCUCGGGAUGCAUGUUCCGGGGUGGAAAGGUUUUCCGGUGCAGGAUGGGCCCGCGGCCUAUCAGCUUGUUGGUGGGGUAACGGCCCACCAAGGCGACGACGGGUAGCCGGCCUGAGAGGGCGACCGGCCACACUGGGACUGAGACACGGCCCAGACUCCUACGGGAGGCAGCAGUGGGGAAUAUUGCACAAUGGGCGCAAGCCUGAUGCAGCGACGCCGCGUGAGGGAUGACGGCCUUCGGGUUGUAAACCUCUUUCAGUACCGACGAAGCGCGAGUGACGGUAGGUACAGAAGAAGCACCGGCCAACUACGUGCCAGCAGCCGCGGUAAUACGUAGGGUGCGAGCGUUGUCCGGAAUUACUGGGCGUAAAGAGCUCGUAGGCGGUUUGUCGCGUCGUCUGUGAAAACCCGCAGCUCAACUGCGGGCUUGCAGGCGAUACGGGCAGACUUGAGU
rnacentral:rRNA from 1 species